AUAUGGGCAUGGGAAAGACUACCUAUGGUGAGGCCCCAAGGAAUAUUGCCUUUGAAUAAUCUUGGUGAUUUGCCAUAUGGGGGGAGGUGGUUUCGUUCACAUGAAUGGCCGACAGUAACGACACACGUGAUCCGUGGAUACAGAGACCAAUUUGAUCACUGUACAAAUAAAAAAUUAGAAUUUAGGCCGUAUGACAACAUCUUGCCAUAUCUUCCUGAUUAUUGUCGCGAUUGAGCGGGGAUGUGGACUUCACGGGUGCCACUAGUAUUUUUUUAUGUUAUUGAGUUUCACUACCCCGAUCGAUUUUGCCGGCAGUUUAGGAGUGUGCAGGAUGUCCCACAAGUUGUGCCAUGUACGCGGGAUUUACAUACCAUAGACGGUCGUUCGAGCAGAAAUAUUAGAGAUUGGAGUGUGUAUCAUGGAGAAUACAUUGACUUGUGGAAUAAUAGACAUAAUCACUAUGUCGCUAUGUUCUCUCUCCAGCACAUUGAGGUUACACAUGCUUACAAAGUAUGGUUUCACCGAUAUGGCAGACGCGUUAUCGGUAACCCAGCUCAUGAUUCGCACACGGGUUAUGCCGAAUACGCAACCGAACUACACAAAAUGAGGCAUGUGUUUAAGAAUAUUUCGCUAGAGGCGAUGACCACUUUAGCUGAUCCAAUAAUUGAUCGAGAUGCAACAUUGACGCGUAUCAAUAACAUGUCUCUGGAUAAUUUAGGUGACUAUAAUUUUAUAGUCAAUGUACCUGAUGAGGAUUACUAUGUUGUUCGGCAAGUGAACACUGUGCAAGCUCGUCGUAGAGAUAGAAGACGAGAACGUUGACAGAUGAGGGGUGGUUUGGUGAGAGGUG